rnacentral:lncRNA from 1 species
GGACACAGGACAGCCUGCAAGUCGGCGGCCUGGGAGUGGAGACAGGGGAGCUUUGUGCACCCGAGUCCAGAGCAGCGCCCACUUCUCUUCUGCACAGUGGGCCAGGCUUCAGGCUUCCAGGCGACAUGCGGGGCUUCCUCCUCUACACUCUCCUCUGUGCAGAGCUGGCACAGGCAAUUUCUCAAGAGCCAUGCCGGACAUGGCAUUUUGAUGCCUAAAUAGGGAUUCAAGGUGUGAGGAAACUCAUCAUUUAGCAGCAUCACAGAUCAGAAACCAGGCUGCCGAGAGCCCAGCAGAGGUCUGCACAUUGAGGACGGAGCAGGCGCACCCACCGCUUACCCUGAUGGAGCCCCUGGAGCAGGACUCGCUGGACAGCUGCCCUAUCCAUGGCUGCCCCUUCCUGGAGACCCCAAGGGGUGACAUUUUCACACCACACGCUUUGAUGCUGGGAAGGUCCAUGUCUGAUGUCCUUGACACCUCGCUGGAGGUGGACUUGCAGGAGGAUCCCCCACCUGAAGCCCUGGACCAAGGAAAGCACACUGUGCCCACCAAGGCAGAGGCCAUGCAUGAG